rnacentral:rRNA from 1 species
AUUGAACGCUGGCGGCAGGCCUAACACAUGCAAGUCGAGCGGAGCGGCGGACGGGCGAGUAAUGCCUAUGAAUGUGUCUGCUAGUUAGGGGUAAAGUCCGGAAACGGGCGCUAAUUCCGCACACUCUCUGAUGAGCCUACGUUGGAUUAGUUAGCUGGUGGGGUAAAGGCCUACCAAGGCGACGAACCGUAGCUGGUCUGAGAGGAUGAUCAGCCACACUGGAACUGAGACACGGUCCAGACUCCUACGGGAGGCAGCAGUGGGGAAUAUUGCACAAUGGGCGAAAGCCUGAUGCAGCCAUGCCGCGUGUAUGAAGAAGGUCUUCGGAUUGUAAAGUACUUUAAGUUGGGAGGCGUUACCGACAGAAGAAGCACCGGCUAACUCCGUGCCAGCAGCCGCGGUAAUAC